AUUGAACGCUGGCGGCAUGCCUUACACAUGCAAGUCGAACGGCAGCACGGGAGCAAUCCUGGUGGCGAGUGGCGAACGGGUGAGUAAUAUAUCGGAACGUGCCCAGUCGUGGGGAUAACGUAGCGAAAGCUACGCUAAUACCGCAUACGAUCUAUGGAUGAAAGCGGGGGAUCGCAAGACCUCGCGCGAUUGGAGCGGCCGAUAUCAGAUUAGGUAGUUGGUGAGGUAAAGGCUCACCAAGCCGACGAUCUGUAGCUGGUCUGAGAGGACGACCAGCCACACUGGGACUGAGACACGGCCCAGACUCCUACGGGAGGCAGCAGUGGGGAAUUUUGGACAAUGGGCGCAAGCCUGAUCCAGCAAUGCCGCGUGCAGGAUGAAGGCCUUCGGUUGUAACUAGCUUUGUACGG
rnacentral:rRNA from 1 species